rnacentral:rRNA from 1 species
CGAGCAGCGCGUGUGGCAUAUCAAUAAGCGGAGGAAAAGAAACUAACAAGGAUUCCCCUAGUAACGGCGAGUGAAGCGGGAAGAGCUCAAAUUUGAAAUCUUCAAGGUUUUACCUUGACGAAUUGUAGUUUAUAGAAGUGUUUUCUGUUAGAGGAGUAGUAAAAGUUCUUUGGAAUAGGACAUCAUAGAGGGUGAGAAUCCCGUAUUUGACUAUUCUUCCUAGCCGUUGUGAUACACUUUCAAAGAGUCGGAUUGUUUGGGAAUGCAGUCCAAAAUGGGUGGUAAAUUUCAUCUAAAGCUAAAUAUUGGCGAGAGACCGAUAGCGAACGAAGUACCGUGAGGGAAAGAUGAAAAGAACUUUGAAAAGAGAGUUAAACAGUACGUGAAAUUGUCAAAAGGGAAGCGUUUGACACCAGUGUUGUUUUUCCGAAAAUCAAUUACGAAUGUUUUGUUUUUGAGGAGUUAUGACUUCAUCGACUUGCUCCUUUCUUUAUCGAAGCUUUCUUAAUGCACUUUUCGGUUAACAAGUCAACAUCAAUUUCUUUUGUUGUAAAAGGGUAUGAGGAAGGUGGCUUUCUUUUCGGAGAAAGUGUUUAUAGCCUUGUGCCUCUGCAAUCGGAGAGAUUGAGGUCUGCAGCGUAGAUCCUUCGGGGUUAGAUACGUUUGUGCUAAGUUAUAGCUUUUCAUAGACAACUUGUUGACUAUGUUUAGUCUUGUAGCUUACUCGCUUAUGCUAUUUUACCUACGCUUAGGAUGUUGAACUCUAUCACACACAG